UCAGUUUUCAUCGCCAUUUUUUUCGUGUAGUUAGCUUGAUCAUAGCCGAAAGAUUAAUCUUUGGUGAAAUUCUAAGUGAGAAAAUGGAAUUUAGUCGUUUAGUUAACGGCGAUAUCAGAGUAAAAGAGGAGCCAAGCGAUGUGGCGCUUAUUGGAAAUGAUUGUGCAAUCGAUUGACGAGAAACCCAAUCUUGAAAACUGCCAGCUCUCAUCAUUUCCACAUUUAAUUACAGAAAGUUCUAACGAUACCCUUCAAAAAUAUGCGAAAAAUCAUGAAAGUGAGCUUCACGAUAAAGUGGAAAUAGUCGUUGAGUGCGUAGACGUCAAGCCCAAUAUUAAUUCAUCGAAAUAUUUCGAUAAUUAUAAAAUUCAAAACAUAAUUAAAACAGAA